CGGUUGGAGACUACACGAGCUAGACGUAUCUGUCAUUGCUCCCUACUUAUUUCUUUGUUAUGGAUUUUUUCUAAUAUGGUUUUAUUUUUUGGUACUUCUACAAGCUUAUUUUUCUUAUUGACAGUUGCAAGUGUUCUUAAGCGGCAUGGGGAAUUGGUAGAGCGUCUAAGUAUAAAUUUACUAGUGAAUGUUAAAGGAAUGCUUCACCUUCUUCAUCAAUGUGCUUCCCUAGAACUUUUUAUCAUUUCCUAGGAUCGCGGAAACUUUUUAUCAUUUCCUGCUACCUGAGUUAAUCAACGCCAUUAUUGCUAGUAGUUUUUGUUGGCGGUAAGUUAUAGAACACUUUAAACAUUAAUGAUGCUUAGAUUUGAACAUGGACAAUCUCUUAGUAAUUAUUAAAGGAAAAGAGGCAUUCCAUAGAAUAAAAAUGGAUGGGUAAGAGAAAUCAAGUACUUGAAGGUUAUCUAUGUUCUAAAGUGGACCAUCUUGUUAAUCAAUUGACAUUUAUGAUGCCUUUUCUGCCUCCGAGAAGCCAUCAUUUUUAAAGUGGUUAAUGUCCUAUUGAAGGUCUAUAAUUAUGUCAAGAAUGCUGAUGGAAAGCAAAAGGAAAAUUUUAUGCAUUAUUGCAGUCCUGGAGAUGAAACUUAUUUGUGCACACGAGCACAUGUUGCCUGAUGCCAUAUAUCUUUUUGUCUAUGGUUAUAGAUCAUGCAUCACUGUACUGGAAGUAUAAAUGGUUCUGAUUCUUUAGCAUUAAGGUUCUAGAGGAAUUUGAUUUGUUCAUUGUAUUCAUUUCAUUAGGGAUUCUGACAAGAUGAUUUUUGAGCGCCACAUAAAGAAUUUGAAGCUGCACGGGCAUCUCAAACUCAAUCUACUUUUAGUAAAUGUAUCAUGCAGAAGAAUUGAAAAGUGUUGCAUCUCAACCUCAAGUUUUACGUGUAGAUGAUCUCUCUCUGUCAAAAGCAAAGACUUCUCACUGCUCGCAAACCUGAUCCCAAUCCUCUUAAAAAAUAACCUGAUCUGAACCAAGCUCAGAUUACCUGAUCUGACUCAUUCCCAUUACCACCACCAUCUUCAGUAUCUGUUUCCCUCUUCCUGACCUUUUGUUUAUUAAUAUCCAGUUUGGACAUACUCAUUCUAAAGUGCAUUGAUUAAAAUAUGCAUCUUUUUAUUCUCGCAGAGCUUUAUUUAGAUGGUGAAGAGUGGAAUGAUGGGCUAUUAGCUACAAUAAGAGAGAGG
rnacentral:misc_RNA from 1 species